AGUGGGGUGACUGAGAUUGAUAGGUGGUAGGCUGUAAAUCUAUUUAGGAGCUUUAAAGCGUUGCUCUCCCACUA
rnacentral:tRNA from 1 species